rnacentral:rRNA from 1 species
CCUACGGGGUGCAGCAGUGGGGAAUAUUGGACAAUGGGCGAAAGCCUGAUCCAGCCAUGCCGCGUGUGUGAAGAAGGCCUUCGGGUUGUAAAGCACUUUCAGUGGGGAAGAAAGCCUUGGGGCUAAUACCCUCGAGGAAGGACAUCACCCACAGAAGAAGCACCGGCUAACCCGUGCCAGCAGCCGCGGUAAUACGGAGGGUGCGAGCGUUAAUCGGAAUUACUGGGCGUAAAGCGCGCGUAGGCGGUCUGAUAAGCCGGUUGUGAAAGCCCCGGGCUCAACCUGGGAACGGCAUCCGGAACUGUCAGGCUAGAGUGCAGGAGAGGAAGGUAGAAUUCCCGGUGUAGCGGUGAAAUGCGUAGAGAUCGGGAGGAAUACCAGUGGCGAAGGCGGCCUUCUGGACUGACACUGACGCUGAGGUGCGAAAGCGUGGGUAGCAAACAGGAUUAGAUACCCUGGUAGUC